rnacentral:lncRNA from 1 species
UUAAGUAGGUGAUUAAGUUAAAAUGAGUCAUUAGAGUGGGCUCUAAUCCAAUAUGACUAGUGUUGUUUUAAGAAGAGGAAGUUAGGACACAGACACAUACCGAGGGAAGAUGAUGUGAAGACACAGGGAGAAGACAGCCACCUACAAGGCAAGGAGAGAGGCCUCAGGAGAAACCAACCGUGCCAACAUUUUGAUCUCAAACUUCUAGCCUCCAGAACUCAUAGUGACCUGAGGAAACAUCUUUCCGGAAAGGUUCAAUCUUUCACAUUUGAAUGAUCCUUAUAUAUCCUCAAACUUUCCAGAAGACAACCUGUGGCUAUGUAUUUUUUCAGUUGGCUUGUGCAGCACUUCUCAAAGUGUGGUCAAUGGACUCCUGGGGAGAUCCUCUGUGGAGUCUGUGAGGUAUCAUGAAAAGAGGUAACACGCCGGUGAGGAUGUGCUACCGCGGGAACUCUCACAGAGGCCGACGGGAGCGGAACUUGGUCCAAUUGCUCUGGAAGCUGACUGAUGCUACUCGGUCCAGUAGAAGAUGCUCAUGCCCUGAGAUCCGGAAAUCCCAUUUCUAGGUAUCUUUUAUAGAAAAACUCUUGGAUGUGUGCACAAAGAGAUGAGGAAAAAACAUGAAUUGCAGUAGUUUUUGUAAUAGUGAUAAACUGCAAAGAUUUCCAAGGUGCAUCCACAGUAAAAUGGAUCGAGUGUGGUAUUUUCAUACAAUGGAACAUUAUAUAGCAACAAAAACUUCUAUGGCUACAGGCAAACAUGGAUGAAGUUCAAACAUAAUGUUGAGCAGGGGAGGGCAGCACAAGCUGACAGCAUCUGGUAUUUUCAGGUGGGCUCCCAUUCAGGUGCUCUCCCAAAAAAGCGGGUGGUGGGGGGAACCCCAUAAUGUUGAGAAAAAAAAGUCACAGAAAAAUAUAUCCAUUGUAAUUCCACUUACAUAAAGGUCAAACAUUAAACAUUAUAUUAUCCUGAAAUACAUAUAAAGUAAUCUAUUUUAAAAAGAAAGGGAAUGAUUGACCUGAGGAAGGCAUCCAGAGGUUUCAAAGGCAAGCUUAUAUUCUAUUUAUUAGCUUGGGUAGUGGAUAUACAAUCAUUUGUUUUAUCAAUGACCUUUAAAUUGUACACAUACUAAAUAUACCCUCUUGUAUGUAUAUUUUACAAUAUAAUAAAAGACAUCUAUCAGAAAAGAGACUGGACGAUUUUACAACUCCACGAUAACAUUAGUUGUGUUAGAUUGGUUACAGACUAUUUCUUUUUCCACAUUUUCUGUAAGGUGCUUUUAUUAUUUUCAUAAUUAAAAUAUAUUAAAGUAAUCCAUUUAUAGGGAAACAGCAAUAUUCUUAGUCUAAAUAAGUCACAAAAUAUAACUUGAAGUAGUUUGAGUUAGGAUAAUGAAUUUCACAAAUAUUUGAGAAACGUGGGUGUUAAAAGAACACCCUGAAGGUGGAAGUUCUAUGAACAUGUACUCUUGAGUAGCUCAGAUGCUGCUAAUCUGUUCUUAGGGCAGAAGCUGCUCACUGUUAAAAAUGAAUGUAACAUUCCGAGUUGAAAGAAGACACAGUUCCAUAGCAGAAGCAACUCUUUUAGAAGCAGCUAAGAAUCACGUCUUCUGUACAGAGUUACCUAAUCUCUCCUCCCGAGAUAACUAUUCUCUCCCCAUCUUGCUACUAUACUUUAUACACAUUCCUGUGGUUGCACAGAUCACAGAGUAACAUUGUUAUUUGUCCACCGGGCUCUCCCGGACUAGGCUCCAAGCUCCCUGCAGGAGGGUUAACCACAGUC